AAUCAGCUGCACCUUACUGGAUAAAAGAACCUACCAAUCUUGUGUUAUCCCCAGGAGAACAUGGUAAUUUGAUCUGCAGAGCUAAUGGCAAUCCCAAACCUAGUAUAAGCUGGUUAGCAAACGGAGUUCCCAUUGCAAUUGCUCCUGAGGAUGCUAGCAGAAGAGUAGAUGGUGAUACAAUUAUAUUCACUGAUGUACAAGAAAGUUCAAGUGCUGUUUAUCAGUGUAAUGCCUCUAACGAAUAUGGAUAUCUACUGGCAAAUGCAUUUGUGAAUGUUUUGGCUGUGGCACCAAGAAUUCUUACUCCUCCAAAUCAGCUCUACCAAGUCAUUGCAAAUAAACCUGCAUUGCUACACUGUGCAUUUUUUGGUUCACCUGUGCCUACAGUGGAAUGGUAA